GCCUAGCUGGCUCAGCUGGUAGGCCAUGAGACUCUUGAUCUCAGGGUCAUGAGUUCAAGCCCCAUGUUGGGCA
rnacentral:tRNA from 1 species